UGGGGAAUUUUGCACAAUGGGGGAAACCCUGAUGCAGCGACGCCGCGUGAUUUAGAAGGCCUUCGGGUUGUAAAAAUCUUUUCUAUGGGAAGAAAAUGACAGUACCAUAGGAAUAAGGACCGGCUAAUUACGUGCCAGCAGCCGCGGUAAUACGUAAGGUCCGAGCGUUGUCCGGAAUCAUUGGGCGUAAAGGGUACGUAGGCGGGUAAGCAAGUUAGAAGUGAAAUCCUAUAGCUCAACUAUAGUAAGCUUUUAAAACUGCUCAUCUUGAGGUAUGGAAGGGAAAGUGGAAUUCCUAGUGGAGCGGUGAAAUGCGCAGAUAUUAGGAGGAAUACCGGUGGCGAAGGCGACUUUCUGGCCAUAACCUGACGCUGAGGUACGAAAGCGUGGGUAGCAAACAGG
rnacentral:rRNA from 2 species